rnacentral:lncRNA from 10 species
CCUCACCCGGCAGGGAUUCCCGUUCUAGGGAACAUGUGGUUCGUGCCAGCCAGUUGAUGUGGGCGCUUUCUUCUGCCCCUACUCCCGGCUGUCCGCUUCCUCCCCAGCCCCCUCCUGUGAGCUCUGGGAGCUACAGAAUAAGGACACUCCUUGGCCCCAAGCCAGCCCCAGCUUGCUCGGGAGCCUGGGUUUCCCCCUCCGUCCCCAUCACCGCGAGGGUCUGUGCAUGGGAAUCUGCUCCAGAGGCUCCCUCAGGCGCCGCGCCGCGGGGAUACGCCUUUCACCGCCCCAGCAAUUGGAGCGCUGAGUCGAAGUCCUGAUUCCACGAUAGGCGGAUGAAGCCCUAACGCUGAAAUUCUUUCCUCUAGGUCUUUGGCAGCGGCUGGGGCCAAAGCCCGGGCAAGACCAACGCCUUCGGCACCCGGACUCAGGCUCCGUCCUCUCUGCCAGCGUGCGGCUACAAUGACUCGACAUGGCAGGUGGGCAAGCACAGCACGCCCCAACAGACAUGCUUUAUUUAAUAUGUACUAAAAAUACAGCAGGCCUGUGAAACCCACAGGUGCAAUUGCUUAAAAUGAGGCUAAGGUAGACGUGUGAAUGGUUAAUAAUGAGUUGAUUAAAAUAUUCAGAAAUCAUCUACUGGAGACGGGCAAACUGCAAAAUGGUAGCAUGGGAGCAACUGAUGUUCGAGAAAGCCCAGGCUCCGGCAAGCCGUGGGUUUGAAUUUACACAUGCGCACAUAAUGGGUAUGAAUAAACCUUUCUUCAAAAAAACCAGAUCAAGUCAAGGCAGUUAUUUGCUGUGGGCAGGUGCCAAGGCUGGCUGCUUCAGUCCCCACGCGAGUCGCCCCCGAGCCUGCUUCUGCAGCCCAGCCUGGAAAGUGCAAGGCACUUGGAAAGGAGCCACGCCCAACGCCCUGUACCAGCGGCCUCCCGGACACCAACAGCGUCCUCUGCGCCUGCUGCAGCUUGUCCCUUAGUCCUCCCUGGACAGAGGGCGUGAAGUUGGCUGCGCCAACAGGACGCGGCCCGCUCACUUCGGGGCUCAUUGUCCUGGACACACAGUCAGGGCUGGACGCCUCCAGCAGCCCCACGCUUCACCCCAAGGUCCGCAAACCUGACAACUUCGGAGGUAGGGAUAUCUUGACACAGUCUGAAAACAAACCAUUUAAAACUUUUUUUCUCAAAAAAUUAAAAUAAUUUUUUUCUGCUUACAAAAUCUAUAAAUUCAGUUCAAUAUCAAUGAAAAUCGCAACAGGAUGUUGACACUUGAGAAGCUGAUUUGAAAGUUCAUCUGAAAGAGAAAAUAUAUAGGAAUCCUGAAGAUGAUUUCGAAAACCUCCAAAAAGACUUCAGUAAUUCACACAGAAAAUCCAGAAACAGAUUCAUGUUUAUGGGGAAAUUUAGUAUUUGAUACAGGAGACCUUUCAAAGCCAAGCUGGAAAGAUGGAAGGUCAACAGAGGCUUUGGGGAAAACUCACUAUCCAUUUUGAAACCAAUGUUAGAAUCUUCUUACCAUUUGCAAGAAUAAACUCCAGGUGUAUUAAAGAGCUAAACAUUUAAAAAAUCUAUAAAAGUUUUAAAGCCAAAUAUGGAAGAAUAUUUUUAAAAUCCUAUGGUGAAGAAGGCUUUUACUAAGCAGCAAACAAAACCUGGAAACCGUAAAGGAAAUGACUGACAGAUUUGAAUAUUGCAAGAACUAAAUGAAUGCCUCCUUAAACAAAUUAAAGGACAAAUUCCAGGCAGGGAGAAAAUAGUUUACAAUAGAAGUAAUGUGCCAAUGGUUAAUAUCUGUGUUGCAUAAACAUGUCUUUCCAAUCAAUAAGAAAAGAGUAGGAAAUGGGUAAGGAUUUAACAGGCAAUUCACAGAAGACAAAGUAACCGGCCCCUAAAUGGGAGCAUAUCCUCAACUUCACUAGUAAUAAAGGAAACGAAUUUAAAAGACGAUACAUUUCUCACUUCUUCUCUCCUUAUAGCUGUAUUCCACCUUUGACCAUACAGCCUGUUUUUAUUUAUCGUAAGCAUAGGUUAAUAAAUACAGGGCUUACCAUGUUAAUAUCUUCUUUCUAUGGAUGCGUAACAACUUAUUUUAUCAUUCCGUUUGUGACUGAAAUUGAAUUUCUUUCUGUAAACCUGAAAAUAUCUGAGACAAGCCUCGAUCAACUUAGAAGUUUACUUUGCCAAGAUUAAGGACACGUCUUGGGAGACAGGCCACUGCCUUCAGAGAAGGUGACAGAGGGCCAUGUCUGAAACAUUCUCCCACAACCAGGAACCCUCAGCAGCCGCUGAAGAGGAAAGGCAGUUAAAUGGAAAGACUUCUGAGCAAGUGGAGGAAAAGUCACGUGUGACCUAGGGAGGGGCUCCCACAGGAAGGGGCAAUGCCCUUGCCCUGUUCACCUAGCCUCCAGGUGGCUUCCCACUUGAAAUUUCAGAGGAUGGCAGAAACCUACUUACAAGGAAAUGAAAGAGGGCACAGCAACCUUAAGACCAGAGCAGCCCACGAUAUUUUUUAAUGAGGGCAAAAAUAGAAGACUUGCAAAAGACCCCUGAAAAUAAUGCCUGGAAGCUGCGAAACAUCAGACUGACACCGCACAAAAGAGGUCCAGCUGAGCAGGAGAAAAGCUUGAGAAGCAUCCAGAACAAUGUAGGUGGAGAGGCUAAGAAGAAAGAGGAGCCCACAUGGAAUGAAUAACCAAGGUCGGGACAGAGGAAGGUUCGCCAGAACUGGGAGGGCUGAAAUUGGACAUUGAGAUAAAUUAAAGAGUGUUCUUUAAAACUGUCAAGACUUUGGCUGGUCAAUAAGUAAACUGCAAACGAGUGUUCCUAAACCACAGCAGCAAUGCUCCCUGGAGGAGGGAAGGAGGCCGGGGCUGCCACUCUCCCAGGUGGCUGCGUCCCGGCCUUUGCCAUUGAUGUGUGCUUUCUCCAGGCUCACAGAUGUCCCUGGGCCGGUUGCAUCUGUGACCAGGACUCUGCCACCUGCCUGUGGCUUGCUGAUCAGCUGGUCACCCAGGAAUGUUAGGGAUGAACAGAGACCUAGAACUCAGGCUCCAUGGAUCUGGCAGCACCAGGAGACGAGGUUUCAAAUCUCAUGGCUGGGCCAGCCAGCCAGGUGCCCUGGAACUGUUGUGAUCCCUGCUCCUUGCCGGGCUUAGCCUCCUCUUACUUCAGCCCAGAAGUCCCCGAGUACCCACUCAACAAAUGCCAUCCCUUUAAUUUCUGUGGCCUGCUGCCAUCACGGCUCGCCUAAUUCAUUCCCUCCACACCCUAAGUGUCCACGGAAGUGGCUGAAACAGUAAAACCACAGAGGAGCAUUCAUUCCAGUCCCCAAGGCAAGCCCCCUCCUUUGCACCCUGCUGUUUGGUUGAUUUCUUCUUUCUCCACUUCCCAGGAUGUGGAGCAGAUUCCCUGUGGCAUGAUUACCUGAGGCCAGGUACAGACUGGCUCCAGGGAAGCACAGGGCUGGGGUCCCAGUUCCCACACCGGGCCAUUCAUUAACAGGUGGGAAGAGUUCCACCACUUCUGAGGAAUUAGCAGGCUCCAGGUGACCCUAUGUCACCCCAAGUGACUCUCCAUUCCCCACAGACUCAGCCACAGGGCCAACAGUUUCUAUUGCUAUCUUUCCCUCCAGAAAACCCCUGGGCCAUCUCGCCUGCCCAGCUCCUGCUGCUCCCCACGGGAGGGCUACAGUUAAAGAAGGGAAAGUGGCUAAUUCACUAAGUAAUUAACUUAAGGAGUGUCUAUUGAACAUCUACUGUGUGCAAGAUGCUGUUCUAGAUUUGAGAUACAAAACAGGGAAAGAGAAGGCCCUGCUCUCACGGAUGGGCAUUAGAAGAGUGGGGUUGAUAAACACGAGGAUCAGUGAAGAGCAUUCCAGGCAGGAAUAAGCACUGCAGAGGAAGGAGGAUGAGAUGAGAAGGGAGAGCGAGCGAGCAGCAGUGGGGGAGGUGUCCAUGGGGUUGAGUCUGGACGAGGGGAGGGAAGCAGCCAGUGCUUAGCAGGAAGACAGGGCAGGGGUGCAGCUCCCAGAAGGAGACAAAGAGGACCUUUCGAAGGUCUGCAGGUGGCAGGAGGGGCAGAGGAGGCUGGACCCAGGUAAGAAGUCAUUGCAGGGGUCCAAGCCAGGAGAGGACAAAUCUGAUGGAGGUUUAAAAGGCUCAGUUGUCUGCCUGGUGGAGAAGAGACGAAGGGGCAGAGGGGGAAAAAGUGAUGGACUAAGGAUAGAUUUUGGAGGCAGAGCAAACAGGAGAGCAUGAAAGAAACAGAGAAUCAAAGAUGAUGUUUAGGCCAGGGGCGGUGGCUCAUGCCUCUAGUCCCAGCACUUUCGGAGGCUGAGGUGAGAGGAUCGCUUAAGCCCAGGAGUUCAAGACCAGCCUGGGCAACAUAGCAAGACUGCAUCUCUAAAAAAAAAAAAAAAAAAAAAUUAGCCAGGUGUGGUGGUGCACACUUGUAGUCUCAGCUACUUGGGAGGCUGAAGUGGGAGAAUCGCUUGAGCUGGGUAUGUUGAGGGUACAAUGAGCCAUGAUUGUGCCACUGCACUCUAGCAGUGGAUGACAGAGUGAGGCCCUGUCUCAAAAAGAAAAGAUGAUGAGUUAUUGGUUUGGGACCAUUUUCUGACCUAGGGAAGACAGAGGAGAAGCUGGCUUGUGGGUGGGUGGUAUCUGGAGCUCCGUUUUGGCCAGGUUACAUUCCAGGAGCCUCCUCGGGGUCUGGGAGGAGCUGUGGAGAACCCAGACAUGUCUGUAGGGGUGAAGCAUUUCUGGCCUGUGUAAGCACACACCUGGUGGCCACAGGGCCUGGGCUGUCUGAGAGAGGUCUGGUUUGAGAUGUGUCAACGUCGGACUCUAAAUGCCUCUCACCCCAGGGCUCAGGUAGCCCCUUCCAUGCCUGUCCAGAAGACCCUGCAGAAAGUGCUCAUGGUGGUGCCAUCUCACCUGCAGUAUUUGUUCCUAAAUCAGCACAAGUCGGAUCCUAGCAAGGGCCAUGGAAUAUGCUUAGAGGGUGACACAUACACUGCCACUGCCUGUUUCUAUUCAUGAACUCACUUUCGAAAGUGUCCCAUUCUGAGAUAAUUUUAGACUUAUAGAAGAAUUGCGAAAGCAGCCUCCCCACCCCCAGCCUCUUCUCAUGCCGGCAUUCCAUGAAUCAGAGUGCGAUUAUGAGAGCUGAGACUCACCUCGCCGUGGUCUCGAGAGCUGGACGGCAGGCAGGCCCCUCCCAGUGCCCUCCUCUGUUCCCAGCUCCCACGUGCAUUUGGCUGUCACCUUUCUCUGUCUCCUUUCUGUGUCAGGGCCGGCUUUUUAAGAGGAUGGGUCUGUCGCUCUUGGACAGUCUCUCCGCCUAGGUCUGCCUGACGCCUUCUCUGCAUUGGACUGAGACAUGGGGCGUCACUAUGUUGCCCAAGCUAGUCUCAAACUCCUGGACUCAAGUGAUCCUCCCACCUUGGUCAUCCAAAGCGCUGGGACUACAAGCAUGAGCCACCGCGCCCAGCCAGAACCUGAGUAUUCAAUGUUUCCAUAAAUGGAUUUCACUGAGUGCUCUCAACCCUGGAGACGGCAGAACCAAGUCUCUCUACACCCUUUCCCAGCAAGGGGCCAGGGCCACAGAGGAAGAAUCGCCCCUGAACUCUCAGAAUCCUAAAGCUUCAAUGGUUCUGGAAAUCAGAAGUCCCAGAAUGAAGGUGCCAUCGGUGGCGCUGGUUCCUCCUGGAGGCUCUAAGGGAAACUCCGUCUCCUGUGCUUCCCCAGCUUCCAGAGGUGACCUGCAUUCCCCAGCUCCUUGCCCCCUCUUCCAUCCUCAGAGCCACAGCUUGGCAUCCUCCAGUCUCUGUCUCUGACCUCUUCUUCGGUCCUCGUUCCUCCUACUGCCCCUCGCAUAAGGACCCUUGUGAUUACGCUGGAUCCACCAGAUAACCCAGGAUCCUCCCCCCAUCUCCAGACCCUUAACUUAAUCACAUCCACGAAGGAAGUCCCUGCUGCCUUGUAAAGUAACAUCUUCCCAGGUUCUGGGGAUUCAUAUGUGGACAGCUUUGAGGAGCCACUCAAUUGUGAAGGUCCACCAUAGUACCUUCAUAACUUCAAAUCAUAGGUUUAAACCUCUGUAUCUUAUCCCAUCCAUUUCAGUGUAGCUCUUGCCUGCCCACGCCAUUUGCUUGAUAAAUAUUUGUUCUGGGAGCUAGGUUUGCACAACUGAUCAAGCCAGGCAAAGCCUUAUUUUCCCAAAGCCUAUAUUCCAGUGGGGAAAGACAGGCAAUACAUGGGAUAAAUGAAUAAAUGAUAUUCUCAGCACAAUUGCUUUUUGGAGGAUAACUUGGUAAAAUUUAUGAAAAUUUAAAUUGUGCCUGUUCUCUGACUCUGCAAGCCUGCUGUUAAAAAUUCAUAUAUAAUGAUAUGUGUACAAGCCUGUUCUUUUUUUUUUUUUAAUGAAAUAAUUUUUAUUUGCUGUGAUUAUACAUAUUGACAUUUGCACACUUUUUAAAACUUUUUAUUUGGAAAAAAUUUAAAUUUUAUAGAUAAGUUGCAAAUAUAAAAAGAGUGUAAAGAAUACCCAUACACCCUUUUCCCAGAAAGACUUAUUGUUAGCAUUUCACACAAUUGGCUUUUUGGUUUCUUUCUUUCCCCACCCACCUCACCCCAUGGUUCUCUCUCUCCAUACAUGUUACAUACACAUAAUUAUAUACUUAAUUUUUUUCUUAGUAAAUUGAAGGUGUCACAUACAUGAUGGCCCUUUACUCCAAACAUCAGUGCAUAUUUCCUAAGAAUGUAGAUAUUCUCUUACUUAGCCCCAGUAGUUAUAUAUAUAUAUAUAUAUAUAUAUA